UGCCGUUGAAGAAGAGGGUGUUCCAAACCUCCCCCCGACACCGCACCGGAACGGCGUCAGAAACGUCUCCACCUGUUUGCAGUGGCUGGAGAGGCAGGUUUAGGUUUCUUUCCUGUUCUGAACGCUUGUGCAUGGUUUUGUUUCUUGGCUUUGUACACUCAGAUAAACUUCACAGCUCUUUCUCCAUCUUUCUCUGAUUUUUAUUUAAUUCAGGUGACUUCUUUGCUUGCCAAAGUUGGAGACGAUAAAUAUUUCACUGUCGGCAGCCUGAGGGAUUCUCUACCACCCUUGCUUCCAUUUUUAAGACUUUUAGUGUAGCUUAUUUCCAGCAGGUUUAAAAGUUUCAAACUUUCCCCAUAAAGCAGUUUGAGAAGCAUUCUUUCCCCCCCUCGAACUUAACCCGUUUGAUAUAAAGAUCAGAAAUUGAGUCAAAGCUACCAGACCUCCCCGUUUUAGGGACUGAAAUCAGGACUGUGGAUCUAACGGCCCCCUAAAUUCUUUUCUUGCGGGCCAGUUUUUGAAGUCUUGAGAUGCCAAGUAGGUGGGAUGUGCUUGCAGGUCGGGGCCCCGUCUUUCUUCUAUUAAUGAUCAACAAAGAAAACCGUCUAAAUCUAUGGUAACAGAAAAUACACAUCACAUACACGCAUAAAACCGAUCUAUCAGCUGCAGUAACACAGACAAGAUUAGUACCACUUUUUCUCGAUGGCUUGAAUCAAGCUGUAGUGUUGAAAGGAUCCUUUCGUAUUAAUUGAUAAUUAUUGUUUAUAUUUAAAAACACAGCUGCACAAAUUCACCUAGCUGGCAGAAAAGUAGGCUUCACACGACAGGACUCACUAGGCUGACCUUGCUGUCAACAGAGAAAGACAAGUGCCUUGCUGAGGUCAUUUAUCUGAUAUUAAUGUCCAACGUGUGCGGUAUAAAUUGCUGUCUGGAGGUGCCGCUCGCACACGUCUACCCUAGAAGGAGCUUAGAAAAUUGUUUUGGAUGAAGAAUGUGACCUUUCAACAGCAAUCUAAGUGUCAUCUCAUGGAGUCAAAUGAUCAAGCUAAUUUUAAGACUUUCUGAUACAUAAUGAGUUUUAUCUAAUAAAGGUAUCUAUGAAUGGAAAAAAACCCAACCCAACAAAACCUACCAGGAAAAGAAGAGAAUGAAAAAAUGGCCACGGUCCUUCUCAGUUUCUUGGUCUCCGGGUUUGACUAUUUCAGCUCAUUUGGAUUAGAGCCAUAAACCCUAAAAAGCACAAUCUAGUAUUCAGAGCUUCAAGUCAGACUGCCCUUGUGCCACAGAUAAUCACCAGGAACAUCGCUCCAGUUAGUCACUACCUGCCCUGGUUUGUUAUUUGGUGCAAAACUAAAGCUCAAGGGAAAUUAAGACCCGAACUGUGGUGACUUCUAAGUUGUGGUCCAUGAACUAAGGAAGAUAUGUGAGGCCAUAGCAAAGGUUUCACAGCUGAUGUGGAGAACCUGAUGGAAGAAUGAAAGCUCCACCAUUUCCAUUUGAAACUGUGCUGAGAAAUUCCUAAGAGUUGGCAGUAGUUCAUAGAUCCAAAAGGGUUUGGAAGCACUGCUGUCUUUGGCAUGGCCCAGAUUGCCCCUCAUAGCAGCACCUCCUCCAACCCCACCUGCAGUCCAGCCCAGACUGGGUGACAACACAGAGCUCAGAGUGGCAGAGGCAGUCGAAUGACAUCUCAGUUGUUGGUUUGAAGCAGCCAGUACAGCUAUAAAGAGAAAUGAAGAAAAUGAGGGGAGGGGGAGCUGAGAAAGACUCUGUGAAGGACAAAGAGGGAGACGAGUCAGGAAGGUUGACAGAAAAAAAAGGUCAUGAGUGAGGAAGAAGGGAUUCUCUUGAAAGAAUAUGAGGAAAAGAGGCACAGCUUAAGGAAUAAAAUGGAGAGGGAGAGCCUACAGCGUAGAGGCUGCCUCAUCCCUUGAAAGCAUGGAGCAGACAACUUUAGAUUAUUUGUCCCUAGCCCCUGUUGUUAUCUCCCAGUGUUGUGGUCUCCAUCUCUCCCUCCUGUGUGCAUCUCAAGAUUUUUCUCUAGUUUGGAAUGCUAAAGUGUAUUUAAUUGUAAACACUUAAAACCUUAUGUUUCCUCCAUGCACAGAGGAUUUUCUGCCUUCCUGUGCCACAUUAAAUGAGCAAAUAUGCAGCCCAAACAUACCUUAGCUUUUGUGUCCAGUGAAGUGCACUCCAAACCCUCUUAUGUAUGCUGCCCUUCGUUCCUAAGGGUAAGUGUAAGCCAUUGCUUUGCCUAUACAAGAUGAUAAUGUGUUUUUCUACUGUAGGCUGUCCCUCCUCCAGUGCAGUAACUUGCUGCUGUUUUUUUACUUUUUUUUUUUUAAAGUUAGGCCUUAGUUUGUUAUUUUCUGCCACUUUAACAUUACUUCAACUGUAGUUUCAUCUGCAGAGCUCAUUUACAUGCUGUUUACCUUUUCUUCCAGCUUAUUAAUGAAGCUAUUAAAACAAGAAACAACUUUAUACCUUGCAAUAGACCCACUGCUUACUUCCCCACAACUUAGUGCAAUGCGCUGCCAUUUCUCAUCAGCCAGUGUUUGUGAUCCUUCAACCUGCUUUCAAUUUACAUGUCAGUGCUUACGUCCAAAGCAAUUUGAAUUCAUUUUGGGAGAUUUAGUGAGACACUCUAUUAAAUCCUUUAUUAAAAUCAUGCUGUGUAUCUUUCAUCCAGGAUUUCUGCCGUUCUAUCAAAAAAACAAUCACGUUUCCUUGGCACAACAUGUUCCUUAUGAACUCAUGCUGCUUAUUGCUUAUCAUCUUUCCAUUCUCCUUUGAAUGUUUAGAGGAGUGUUUUGGGAUUGGUUUUUUUCAGUUUACUUUCUUUUUCCCCUCAGCAAUUGUUCUGUUCUUUUGCAUUACAGAAUACACUUGAAAUUAGACUCCUUGUUUAAUAAACCACUCUUCUUCCCUUUAUUGAUGUUUGAGGCUAUACUUGCUAUGCUAUAUGACUUUUCAGAAAUUAUUUUUGAGGGCUUAGUAUUUUCAGUGUGUAUUCAGGGAUGCCUUUAACCUGGACUAAUUGGCUGGAUACAACUGUUUUUCUUACUUGUGUGCUAAACAACAGCAAUUUUUUAUUUCUUGUUUUCUGUCAAACCUUCUGCUUUCAAUAAGAACAAGUAAUAAAUACAUGUAUCUGGGAAUAAUGAGUUUUGCCCACCUCUCUCCUACUAAAGCAGCCCUACUUUUGGACUAUGUUUGCCUUUAUUUUAUAUCUUUUAAUGAUCCCCUUUGGUAUCAUUAACUUGUUCUUGGCUUUAUCCUGAAAGCCACUGAGCACUUCGACCAUGGUCUAACUAAAGUGUAAGAAUGUAUUUACUUUUCAUCACUGAAGUCAUCAUGCAGCUUUUGGGGGGAUUAUUCAUACAUUCAGGUUAAGCACAAGUUUUGCUUUGCUCUUCCUCAUACAAGUAAUCUUCUACAGUUCAUCUUUUCCCUGAAUACUAGCCCACUCUCUCUAUUUUGUUUGCUUUCUUCUUCAUAAGU